rnacentral:rRNA from 1 species
GACAGAGGGGGCAAGCGUUGCUCGGAAUCACUGGGCGUAAAGGGCGCGUAGGCGGGAUGGCAAGUCGGUCGUGAAAUCCCUCGGCUCAACCGGGGAACUGCGUCCGAUACUGGUGGGCUCGAAUCCGGGAGAGGGAUGUGGAAUUCCAGGUGUAGCGGUGAAAUGCGUAGAUAUCUGGAGGAACACCGGUGGCGAAGGCGGCAUCCUGGACCGGUAUUGACGCUGAUGCGCGAAAGCCAGGGGAGCAAACGGG